GGGAGGUAAAAGGGCUAAGUGAGCAGUGUGAAUACUCCUUGGUCUCCUGAAUGCCUUGGUUCUCAACUAUAUUAGGGAGCAGUUACUAACAUGUGAAUAAUAAGCCUCAGGUUAAGACAAUAAUCAGGAAUUCACAUCUUGAAGGAAAAGAGGGUGGCAAGGUUCCAGAGAUAUAUAAAAGGACUGGGAUAAGGCAGACUCAGUGAUUCCCUGUGUGUGCUGUAAGCAGAGGAAAAGGCAGAGAUCUGAAGUUGAAGAAAACAACUCAGAAGAAACAAAGAAACAUGGCGUCUUGCCCGGAGCUGAUUCAAGACCUCCAGGGAGAGCUCAUCUGCUCCAUUUGCAGGGAGUACUUCAAA
rnacentral:lncRNA from 1 species